rnacentral:rRNA from 1 species
GGUCAAGUUAUUAAGGGUGCAGGGCGGAUGCCUUGGCACUAGGAGCCGAUGAAGGACGUGAUAAGCUGCGAUAAGCUUCGGGGAGUUGCACGUAAACUUUGAUCCGAAGAUUUCCGAAUGAGGAAACUCACUUAGAGUAAUGUCUAAGUAUCAUUAAGUGAAUACAUAGCUUAAUGAGGGGAACUCAGGGAACUGAAACAUCUAAGUACCUGAAGGAAGAGAAAGAAAUUCGAUUCCGUAAGUAGCGGCGAGCGAACGCGGAUUAGCCCAAACCAAUAAAGUUUUCUUUAUUGGGGUUGCGGACAUAUCAUAACGAAGAGGUAUCGUAAUUGAAGAGGUUUGGAAAGACCCACCACAGAAGGUAAUAGUCCUGUAUGUUAAACGAGAAGACUUUAGAUAUGAUCCAGAGUACCACGGGACACGUGAAACCCUGUGGGAAGCAGGAGGGACCACCCUCCAAGGCUAAAUACUACCUAGUGACCGAUAGCGUAUAGUACCGUGAGGGAAAGGUGAAAAGAACCCCGGGAGGGGAGUGAAAUAGAACCUGAAACCCUGCACUUACAAGCUGUGGAAGCACAUUUCUUGUGUGACCGCGUACUUUUUGUAGAACGGGCCAACGAGUUACGUUAAGUAGCAAGGUUAAGCACUUAAGGUGUGG